UGUGGUCAGAGGCAAUCCUAGGCAAGUGGCGCACCCAAUAGUCUGAGAAUCUCUGGAUCCAACCGGUAGAGGCAAAUACUCGGUCAAGCCGCUCCCAAACUCUGGCCUGGCCCUGCUGGUUGUUGCACCAAGUGAAUCUCGGACCUGUGAAGCCAAGGUCAGCAAGCCCAUUAGACAUCAAAAAAUCCUGAAAUUCCCGAACCUCAAUUUUGUUGGUGAAUGCCUUCCCGCCCCUCUUCUCCACCGGACCAUCAAUGCAAUUGAAGUCCCCAGCUACCAUCACCGGGUGCCCCAACUGAAUGAGGCUUGUGGCCUCCUCCCACAACACUCGUCUCUCCCUAUAGUCUAUACUUGCAUAUACAGCAAGUAAAACCCAUGGGGGAGCACUACCCUCUGAUAUCACUAAAUUC
rnacentral:lncRNA from 1 species